GCUCUUUUGUCAGGGAAGAAACACCGGCUCUAACACAGUCCGGGAAUGACGGUACCUGAAGAAUAAGCACCGGCUAACUACGUGCCAGCAGCCGCGGUAAUACGUAGGGUGCGAGCGUUAAUCGGAAUUACUGGGCGUAAAGCGUGCGCAGGCGGUUAUACAAGACAGGCGUGAAAUCCCCGGGCUUAACCUGGGAAUGGCGCCUGUGACUGUAUAGCUAGAGUGUGUCAGAGGGGGGUAGAAUUCCACGUGUAGCANUGAAAUGCGUAGAUAUGUGGAGGAAUACCAAUGGCGAAGGCAGCCCCCUGGGAUAACACUGACGCUCAUGCACGAAAGCGUGGGGAGCAAACAGGAUUAGAUACCCUGGUAGUCCACGCCCU
rnacentral:rRNA from 1 species